UCCUGGGUGGCUCAGUGGUUGAGCAUCUGACUCUGGCUCAGGUCGUGGGUUCGAGUCCUACAUCGGGCU
rnacentral:tRNA from 1 species